UAGGGAAUCUUCGGCAAUGGACGAAAGUCUGACCGAGCAACGCCGCGUGAGUGAAGAAGGUUUUCGGAUCGUAAAACUCUGUUGUUAGAGAAGAACAAGGACGUUAGUAACUGAACGUCCCCUGACGGUAUCUAACCAGAAAGCCACGGCUAACUACGUGCCAGCAGCCGCGGUAAUACGUAGGUGGCAAGCGUUGUCCGGAUUUAUUGGGCGUAAAGCGAGCGCAGGCGGUUUCUUAAGUCUGAUGUGAAAGCCCCCGGCUCAACCGGGGAGGGUCAUUGGAAGCUGGGAGAGUUGAGUGCAGAAGAGGAGAGUGGAAUUCCAUGUGUAGCGGUGAAAUGCGUAGAUAUAUGGAGGAACACCAGUGGCGAAGGCGACUCUCUGGUCUGUAACAGACGCUGAGGCUCGAAAGCGUGGGGAGCAAACAGG
rnacentral:rRNA from 1 species